UUUCUCCUCCACCACCUGGGCCGAUGAUGCAGUACCAGUCACUUCAACAAUCGUCUCCUUGAUUUCUUCCACCGUCUUAGCACUAUCCUCCUCCUUCGCUGCUACCUUCUCGGUCACUUUCUCCGCCGGAGCUGCAGGUUCACCUUCUUUCUUCUCUUCCACCACAGGUGCAGCUUCUUUCUUCUCUUCCACCACAGGUUCAGCUUCUUUCUUCUCUUCCACCACAGGUUCAGCUUCUUUCUUCACUUCCACCACAGGUACAGCUUCUUUCUUCUCAACAGGUUCAGCUUCUUUCUUCGAUUCCACCACAGGUACAGUUUCUUUCUUCUCCUCCACCACAGGUUCAGCUUCUUUCUUCUCUUCCACCACAAGUGCAGUUUCUUUCUUCUCUUCGACCACAGGUGCAGUGAAUUCAUGUUUGUUCAGAGCAUCUCGAACCAAUUCCUUCAACUCAGCUAAAGCCUUCUGUUCAGGAUUUGGUAAUUCUUCAACUUUGUUGCUCUCUUCCUUAAACGAUGAAGCUGAUUCAAUAACUGGAGUUGAUUUCCCCUUAUCAGUUUCCGAUGCCUGUUCAGUCUGAGGGGUCAAUUCCUUUUCCGCCUCAGGUACAUCAGACACAACAACUGAUGCCGGUUCAGUUUGAGAGGUCGAUUCCUUUUCAGACUCAGGUACAUCAGACACGACAACAACAGUUGUCUCCGGCUUAGUCUCACUAGCUGUCUUCUUGAUCUCCUCCGCCAUUUUCUUGAUUUUCAGGUCAGCGCCCAAGAACACAAAAAUAACAAGACUAUUCAGAAAUGG
rnacentral:lncRNA from 1 species